UGCUGGUGGUCGACGCGGCGAACGUGAUGGGCUCCCGCCCCGACGGCUGGUGGCGCGACCGCCACGGCGCCGCGGAACGCCUGCGCGACCAGCUG
rnacentral:tRNA from 1 species